rnacentral:rRNA from 1 species
GACGAACGCUGGCGGCGUGCUUAACACAUGCAAGUCGAACGGAAAGGCCCUGCUUUUGUGGGGUGCUCGAGUGGCGAACGGGUGAGUAACACGUGAGUAACCUGCCCGUGACUUUGGGAUAACUUCAGGAAACGGGGGCUAAUACCGGAUAGGAGCUCCUGCUGCAUGGUGGGGGUUGGAAAGGUUCGGCGGUUGGGGAUGGACUCGCGGCUUAUCAGCUUGUUGGUGGGGUAGGGGCUUACCAAGGCUUUGACGGGUAGCCGGCCUGAGAGGGUGACCGGCCACAUUGGGACUGAGAUACGGGCCAGACUGAUACGGGAGGAAGCAGUGGGGAAUAUUGCAAGAUGGGCGGAAGCCUUAUGCAGCAACGCCGCGUGCGGGAUGACGGCCUUCGGGUUGUAAACCGCUUUCGACUGUGACGAAGCGUCAGUGACGGUAAUGGGUAAAGAAGCACCGGCUAACUACGUG